GAUUAAGCCAAGCAUGUGUAAGUGUAAAUGAACUAGUUUGGAACUGCGAAGCGCUCGUUAUAUUCAGUUAUAGUUUAUUUGGUGAAGCGUACUACUUGGAUAACCGUAGUAAUUCUAGGGCUAAUACAUGAGAAAGUCCUCCGGUGAGGUGUGUUUAUUAGAAUGAAAACCAUAUGCUUCGGCAGUAUAGUGAGUAAUAGUAACCUAUCGUAUCGCAUGCUUAAAGUAGCGAUGAUUCUUUCAAUUUUCUGCCCUAUCACCUUUCGAUGGUAUUAUAUGGGCCUACCAUG
rnacentral:rRNA from 1 species